rnacentral:rRNA from 1 species
UUACUAUACAAUAUUUCCACAAUAUAUAUCAAAUAAAACAAGAGUUAAAUAAAGAAAAAAACACAAAGAUUAAGUAAAAAUAUUAUAUCAUCAGUAAUUGUCGAAAGGCAUAUUACAAUCUCACACAAUAAUAAUAACAUCCUAGACAGGGGAUCACUAGGCUCAUGGGUCGAUGAAGACCGCAGCUAACUGCGUGUUGUCAUGUGAACUGCAGGACACAUGAACAUCGACAAGUUGAACGCAUAUCGCACUUCUUGCUUUUUAUUCUAUAUUUACUUAGAAUGGCUUGAGGUUCAUAUGGUUGAGUGCUAUAAUUUAUCAAUAGAACUGUUCUUUCGCAAGAAAGACGUACGUGUCAACUAUGAGACUAUAUUAGCUUAGACUCAUAUUUGAUUAAAUCACGAGAUAUGAAUAUAAUCAAAUACAGUUGCCUACAACCUUGCUUGUUUGGUAGCCUAUUUAACAUUUUAUAUAAUACUAUCAUUUCUUCUUCUUCUAUAUGAGAAAUAUAUAUGAUGUGUAUAUUAUAAAGAAAAUAUGUUAGAUAUGGUGACCCGAGUAUAAAGUGAUUUGGUCAGUAUUUGUGUAAGAGAAUAUUACAUAGCCUCAACUCAUGUGAGACUACCCCC